rnacentral:rRNA from 1 species
GCAGGCCUAACACAUGCAAGUCGAGCGCACUCUUCGGAGUGAGCGGCGGACGGGUGAGUAACGCGUGGGAACGUGCCCUUCUCUACGGAAUAGCCCAGGGAAACUUGGAUUAAUACCGUAUACGCCCUUCGGGGGAAAGAUUUAUCGGAGAAGGAUCGGCCCGCGUUGGAUUAGGUAGUUGGUGGGGUAAAAGCCUACCAAGCCGACGAUCCAUAGCUGGUUUGAGAGGAUGAUCAGCCACACUGGGACUGAGACACGGCCCAGACUCCUACGGGAGGCAGCAGUGGGGAAUCUUAGACAAUGGGGGAAACCCUGAUCUAGCCAUGCCGCGUGAGUGACGAAGGCCCUAGGGUCGUAAAGCUCUUUCGCCGGGGAAGAUAAUGACGGUACCCGGUAAAGAAGUCCCGGCUAACUCCGUGC